GACGAACGCUGGCGGCGUGCCUAAUACAUGCAAGUCGAGCGAAGCGGCGGAUGGGUGAGUAACGCGUGGGUAACCUGCCCUUAAGUGUGGGAUACCAUUUGGAAACAGAUGCUAAUACCGGAUACUAAAGGAUGGACCUGCGAUGCAUUAGCUAGUUGGUAAGGUACCGGCUUACCAAGGCGAUGAUGCAUAGCCGACUUGAGAGGUUGAUCGGCCACAGUGGGACUGAGACACGGACCAAACGCCUACGGGAUGCAGCAGUAGGGAAUCUUCCACAAUGGACGAAAGGCUGAUCGAGCAACGCCGCGUGAGUGAAGAAGGUUUUCGGAUCGUAAAGCUCUGUUGUUAGAGAAGCGGUAAUUAACCAGAAAGUCACGGCUAACUACGUGCCAGCAGCCGCGGUAAUUC
rnacentral:rRNA from 1 species